rnacentral:rRNA from 1 species
CACGUAGGGUGCGAGCGUUGUCCGGAAUUAUUGGGCGUAAAGCGCUCGUAGGCGGUGUGUCGCGUCGGCCGUGAAAACCUGCAGCUUAACUGUGGGCUUGCGGUCGAUACGGGCAUCACUGGAGUUCGGCAGGGGAGACUGGAAUUCCUGGUGUAGCGGUGAAAUGCGCAGAUAUCAGGAGGAACACCGGUGGCGAAGGCGGGUCUCUGGGCCGAUACUGACGCUGAGGAGCGAAAGCGUGGGGAGCGAACAGG